GCCAGACUCCUACGGGAGGCAGCAGUGGGGAAUAUUGCACAAUGGGGGAAACCCUGAUGCAGCGACGCCGCGUGAGUGAGGAAGUAUUUCGGUAUGUAAAGCUCUAUCAGCAGGGAAGAAAAUGACGGUACCUGACUAAGAAGCCCCGGCUAACUACGUGCCAGCAGCCGCGGUAAUACGUAGGGGGCAAGCGUUAUCCGGAUUUACUGGGUGUAAAGGGAGCGUAGGCGGCUGUGUAAGCCAGAAGUGAAAGCCCGGGGCUCAACUCCGGGACUGCUUUUGGAACUACAUGGCUUGAUUGCAGGAGAGGCAAGUGGAAUUCCUAGUGUAGCGGUGAAAUGCGUAGAUAUUAGGAGGAACACCAGUGGCGAAGGCGGCCUGCUGGACUGUAAAUGACGCUGAGGCUCGAAAGCGUGGGGAGCAAACAGGAUUAGAUACCCCAGUAC
rnacentral:rRNA from 1 species